rnacentral:rRNA from 1 species
GAUGAACGCUGGCGGCGUGCCUAAUACAUGCAAGUAGAACGCUGAAGGAAGGAGCUUGCUCUUUCCGGAUGAGUUGCGAACGGGUGAGUAACGCGUAGGUAACCUGCCUGGUAGCGGGGGAUGACUAUUGGAAACGAUAGCUAAUACCGCAUAACAGUAGAUGUUGCAUGAUAGCUACUUAAAAGGUGAAAUUGCACCACUACCAGAUGGACCUGCGUUGUAUUAGCUAGAGGGUGAGGUAACGGCUCACCAAGGAGACGUUAGGUAGCCGACCUGCAAGGGGGCGCUGCCUAGCUGGGACGGGAGCACGGCCCAGACCCCUGCGGGAGGCACCCGGAGGGGACCUUCGGCAAUAGCAGGAAGGCGGAACGAGCGACGCCGCGUGAGUGCAGGAGGUUGUCGGGUCGCGAGGCUCUGUUGUGCGUGAAGAACGAGAGGGAGUGUGAACCGUUCACAUUGUGACGGUAUCUUACCAGUAAGCGCCGGCUAACUACGUG